GCUGAUCCUUUGGUCUCCCUUUGUAACGCCCUCGAUGCGGCUAUAUCUCCCACGUGUCAAAGCACGACUUAGAGGCAUAACCGCAUUGAAAGCAAUGUCACAAGUGAUGUAAUCUUCACACAACCCAUGUAAUACAUAAGGGAAAGAGAUACAUAGUUGGCUUACAAUCGCCACUUCACACAACUACAUGAAUAAAGCAUCACAUCAAUCAGAUACAAUCAAGGUCCGACUACGGAACCAAAAUAAAAGAAGACUACCCCCAAAGCUACACAGAUCCCCGAUCGACCCCAACUGGGCUCCACUACUGAUCGACUAGAACGAAACAGCACAAAUGACAAGAUCUUCAACAAGCUCCUCCUUGAGCUUGGUUGCAUCAUCUGCACGGUCUCAUCGGCACCUGCAAGCUGGUUUUUGGAAGUAUCUGUGAGUCACGGGGACUCAGCAAUCUCACACCCUCGCGAUCAAGACUAUUUAAGCUUAUGGGUAAGGCAAAGGUAUGAGGUGGAGCUGCAGCAAGCGACUAGCAUAUACGGUGGCUAACAUAUGCAAAAGAGAGCGAGAAGAGAAGGCAAUGCAUGAUCGAUAAAACUAUGAUCAAAAAGUGAUCCUAGAACAAACUACGUCAAACAUAACUCCAACACCGUGUUCACUUCCCGGACCCCGCCGAGAAGAGACCAUCACGGUAACACACGCGGUUUAUGUAUUUUAAUUAAGGUCAACUUCAGGUUUUCUACAAUCAGACAUUAACAAAUUCCCAUCUGCCCAUAACCACGGGCACGGCUUUUGAAAGUUCAAAUCCCUGCAGGGGUGUCCCAACUUAGCCCAUCACAAGCUCUCACGGUCAACGAAGGAUAUUUCUUCUCCCAAGACAAUCCGAUCAGACUCGGCAUCCCGGUUACAAGACAUCCUCGACAAUGGUAAAACAAGUCCAGCAAGACCGUCCGAUGCGCCAACAUCCUAAUAGGAGCUGCACAUAUCUCGUUCUCAGGCAACACCGGAUGAACACUACGUACAGCUAAAACCAGCCCUCAAGUUUCCCCAAGGUGGCGCCGUAAGUGGCUCUAGUUCGGACCAAUACAUAGACAAGCACUAGCCCCGAGGGGGUUAAAAUAAAGAUGACCCUCGGGAUGCGCGACUCCCAAGGGAAAAGGCUAGGUGGCGAAUGGUAAAACCAAGGUUGGGCCUUGCUGGAGGAGUUUUAUUCAAAGCGAACUGUCAAGGGGUUCCCAUUAUAACCCAACCGCAUAAGGAACGCAAAAAUCCGGGAACAUAACACCGAUAUGACGGAAACUAGGGCAGCAAGAGUGGAACAAAAUACCAGGCAUAAGGCCGAGUCUUCCACCCUUUACCAAGUAUAUAGAUGCAUUAAUUAAAUAAGAGAUAAUGUGAUAUCCCAACAAAAUAUCCAUGUUCCAACAUGGAACAAACUCCAAUCUUCACCUGCAACUAACAACGCUAUAAGAGGGGCUGAGCAAAGCGGUAACAUAGCCAAACAAUGGUUUGCUAGGACAAGGUGGGUUAGAGGCUUGGCUUAACAAUAUGGGAUGCAUGAUAAGCAAGUGGUAGGUAUCGCAGCAUAGGCAUAACAAAAGAGCGAGCAUCUAGCAAGCAAAGAUAGAAGUGAUUUUGAGGGUAUGGUCAUCUUGCCUGAGAUCCCGCAAGGAAUAAGAACGAGUCCAUGAAGAAGAUAAACGGACGUAGUCGAAUAGAUCCUCACACACAUGACGUUAUCGGAACCAACCCGAAGAAGCAACACCAGAAAGAAGCAAACAACAUAGUAAAAAACCAACACAUCAACAUGACAUGAUGCACAAUCGAGUAUGAUGCAUGUCCGGUUUAAUGAAGCAUGGCAUGGCAAAGUGCACAAACAAUCCUACAAAUUAAGUGGAGCUCAUUAUGCAACGGAGUUGCAUAUUGAAGAAAACACCACAUGACUUAUUUAGCUCUCUCUCGUUUAUGUACCCAACAAGAUUAAAUGUUGUUAGCAUGGCAAGAGAUGAAGCAUAAAGAAACUAUCUAUCUAGGCAAGUUUAAAUGAGGUCAGAAAUAACAAACAACAAUUCCGGAAAAACCUCAUAUGCAUAUUUUACGGUUUGGUACUGUUCUGCCCUAAAUCAUAUUUUAGAGUUAUUAAACAUGCAAAGUAAAGCCAUCAUGUUAAACUAGGCAUUUUUCUACCCCAUUUACAUAUAAAGUUUAUUAAAUUCUGAGUUACGAUUAUUUAGUUAUGAAUUAAAGCAUUUUAACAUGGCAUAGGAGCAAAUUUAAUCAAACAUCAUUUUAAAUAUUUUAAAUAUGGAUGAAAGUUGCAUAUUAUUAAACUAGACAAAAUUCUAAGCAACUUUCAUAUAUAAUUCAUUUUAAUCCGAUGCACUAAUUGUGAGUUACUAUAUGCAUGAUCCACAAGGGCUUUCCUGCAAAAAUGCUCUCCUCUGGAAAAAUAGACAAAUUGCAGAUCUGAAAAAAACAGAGGCGGGCCAAAUCGGACUGGACCAACAGUGCACAGUGGGGGUUCUCACCCAGUGGGCCUUGGCCCAAGGUGGUGGAAACAGCAGGCCGGUGGAUCUGGCGCGGCUGGGCCUCUGCUUAGCGAACAAGGAGGUGGAGGGGGCGCGGUCAACGGGACGACGAGCGAGGAGCUGCGGCUCGUUGCAGGGGAAGCAGAGAACGCCACGGCGACGCUGGACUUGGCGCGGCGAUGGGAAACCUGCCGGAUACAAGGUGGCGCAACCGGAUCAGGCAGUAGUUGGACUUGGCGCUGGACGCAGAGGACGGUCGUCGCGGGACCGGGGUGACGCGGAUGAGUGCAUGAGCUCGAUGCAGAGGAGGCGGGCGACGGCUGCUUGCGGUUCAGAGGACGAGGUGAGGGCAGCGCCACAUCGUUGGACUAGGCAGCUUGCAGGUGCGGGCGUAGGAGGAAGGUGGAGGAGACCGGCGAGGAUGCAUGGAGGAAGGCGAGCAGCGAAGGUCGACGCCGUCCUGUGCGGCUGCUACAGAGCCUCCGGCAGCGCGGAUCCUGUCGAGGACAGGCGCGAGAGGCGAGUCCGUCGCGAGGAAGCUCUGAAGCAACGAACAGGGUGCGGGGCGCCAUGAGGACGGGCGCGGGGGCCUUGGGGCCUGGCAUCCAUGGCGGAGGCAGCGGCGCUGGAGGUUCCUGGUGGCCGGAUCGCAGUGCGGCGGGGCAGACAGGGUCCUGGAGGCAUUCGGGCAUCCAUGGCAACCUGCGAGACACGGAGAGAAAGGGAGAGAUGUGAGAAGAGGGAGCAGCAGGGAGAGAUGGUGGGAAGGGGAGCAGCGGCGGAGCUCCACUCCUCUGGAUCGAAGAGGGAGGAGGAGGCUCUUGAUCGAGGCGGCGGGGUCUCGGAGUUUGGGCAGGUGGCUGCGCUCGGGAUCAAGGUGCUCGGGGAUAAGCGAGCAGAGGAGGGGAUCGAUGGAUUGGGAAGGAGUGCACUGGUUGGGUGGCGGCGGAAAUCAAGGGAGAGGGUCGGAGAGAAUUUGGAUCGGGAGGAGAUCCCGAGGUGGGAUGGUGAGUGGUGGCGGCGGCAGGGAAUAGGAGG
rnacentral:lncRNA from 1 species